rnacentral:rRNA from 1 species
CCUACGGGAGGCAGCAGUAGGGAAUAUUCCUCAAUGGGGGAAACCCUGAAGCAGCAACGCCGCGUGGAGGAUGAAGGUUUUCGGAUUGUAAACUUCUUUUGUUAGAGAAGAUAAUGACGGUAUCUAACGAAUAAGCACCGGCUAACUCCGUGCCAGCAGCCGCGGUAAUACGGCGGGGGCAAGCGUUAAUCGGAAUGUCUGGGCGUAAAGAGCGCGUAGGCGGGUUAGCAAGUCAGAUGUGAAAUCCUAUGGCUUAACCGUAGAACUGCAUUUGAAACUGUGAUUCUAGAGUAUGGGAGAGGUAGGUGGAAUUCUUGGUGUAGGGGUAAAAUGCGUAGAGAUAAAGAGGAAUACUCAUUGCGAAGGCGACCUGCUAGAACAUAACUGACGCUGAUGCGCGAAAGCGUGGGGAGCAAACAGGAUUAGAUACCCUGGUAGUC